AGCAGCCGCGGUAAUUCCAGCUCCAGUAGCGUAUAUUAACGUUGCUGCAGUUAAAAAGCUCGUAGUUGGAUUUCUGGUUUGUCACACUAGCCCAGGGCUUCGGUUUUGAGUGUUGGUGUGUACUCUCCAUCCUUCUAGAGAGCUGUGCGUACCGUUAACUCGGCCGCGCGCAUGCGAUCUAGAUCUUUUACUUUGAAAAAAU
rnacentral:rRNA from 1 species